UACAGAGGUCCCAAGCGUUGUUCGGAUUCACUGGGCGUAAAGGGUUCGUAGGUGGUGCGGCAAGUUGGAAGUGAAAUCUCUGGGCUUAACUCAGAGGCUGCUUUCAAAACUGCCGUGCUCGAGUGCGGGAGAGGCCAGUGGAAUUGCAGGUGUAGCGGUGAAAUGCGUAGAUAUCUGCAGGAACACCCGUGGCGAAGGCGGCUGGCUGGACCGCAACUGACACUGAGGAACGAAAGCUAGGGGAGCAAACAGG
rnacentral:rRNA from 1 species